rnacentral:rRNA from 1 species
UACGUAGGGUGCGAGCGUUAAUCGGAAUUACUGGGCGUAAAGCGUGCGCAGGCGGCCGAGCAAGUCGGGUGUGAAAGCCCCGAGCUUAACUUGGGAACUGCGCUCGAAACUACUUGGCUAGAGUGUGGCAGAGGGAGGUGGAAUUCCGGGUGUAGCGGUGAAAUGCGUAGAUAUCCGGAGGAACACCGGUGGCGAAGGCGGCUUCCUGGACCGACACUGACGCUGAGGCGCGAAAGCUAGGGGAGCAAACGGG